rnacentral:rRNA from 1 species
GAUAAACGCUGGCGGCGUGCAUGAGACAUGCAAGUCAUACGGACGAGCUUGCUCGUCAGUGGCGAACGGCUGAGUAACGCGUAGGUGACCUGCCCCGAAGUGGGGGAUAACUGCCCGAAAGGGUGGCUAAUACCGCAUGUGGCGACGUGCUCAUUCACGUCAUCAAAGCCGCGAGGCGCUUCGGGAGGGGCCUGCGUCCGAUUAGCUCGUUGGUGGGGUAACGGCUCACCAAGGCGACGAUCGGUAGGUGGUCUGAGAGGACGAUCACCCGGACUGGGACUGAGACACGGCCCAGACUCCUACGGGAGGCAGCAGUCGGGAAUUUUGCUCAAUGGGGGAAACCCUGAAGCAGCAACGCCGCGUGCGGGAUGAAGGCCUUCGGGUUGUAAACCGCUUUUACCAGGGACGAUAAUGACGGUACCUGGUGAAUAAGUCACGGCUAACUACGUGCCAGCAGCCGCCGUAAGAC